GAUGAACGCUGGCGGCGUGCCUAAUACAUGCAAGUCGAGCGAGCAGAUAAGGAGCUUUCUCCUUUGACGGUAGCGGCGGACGGGUGAGUAACACGUGGUUAACCUACCUAUAAGACUGGGAUAACUUCGGGAAACCAGAUCUAAUACCGGAUAACAUUUCGAACCGCAUUGUUCUAGAGUGAGAGUUGGUUUUUCUAUCACUUAUAGAUUGACCCGCGCCGUAUUCGCUAGUUGGUAAGGUAACGGCUUACCAAGGCAACGAUUCGUACCCGACCUGAGAGGACGAUCGGCCGCACGGGAACGAGGACGAGCACCAACAUCGUAAGGGAGGCACCAGUCGGACUCCUACCGCAGUGAGCGAAAGCCUAUAGGAGACACGGCGCGUGAGUGAGAAAGAGUUACGGCUCGUAAAACACGGUUAUCUGAGAGGAACAAAGGUGUAGUACCCGGGCACGUAUUGACGGUACCUAAACAAAAAGCCACGGCUAACUCCGUG
rnacentral:rRNA from 1 species